rnacentral:rRNA from 1 species
AUUGAACGCUGGCGGCAGGCCUAACACAUGCAAGUCGAGCGGUAGCACAGAGAGCUUGCUCUCGGGUGACGAGCGGCGGACGGGUGAGUAAUGUCUGGGAAACUGCCUGAUGGAGGGGGAUAACUACUGGAAACGGUAGCUAAUACCGCAUAACGUCGCAAGACCAAAGUGGGGGACCUUCGGGCCUCAUGCCAUCAGAUGUGCCCAGAUGGGAUUAGCUGGUAGGUGGGGUAACGGCUCACCUAGGCGACGAUCCCUAGCUGGUCUGAGAGGAUGACCAGCCACACUGGAACUGAGACACGGUCCAGACUCCUACGGGAGGCAGCAGUGGGGAAUAUUGCACAAUGGGCGCAAGCCUGAUGCAGCCAUGCCGCGUGUGUGAAGAAGGCCUUCGGGUUGUAAAGCACUUUCAGCGGGGAGGAAGGCGGUGAGGUUAAUAACCUUGUCGAUUGACGUUACCCGCAGAAGAAGCACCGGCUAACUCCGUGCCAGCAGCCGCGGUAAUACGGAGGGUGCAAGCGUUAAUCGGAAUUACUGGGCGUAAAGCGCACGCAGGCGGUCUGUCAAGUCGGAUGUGAAAUCCCCGGGCUCAACCUGGGAACUGCAUUCGAAACUGGCAGGCUAGAGUCUUGUAGAGGGGGGUAGAAUUCCAGGUGUAGCGGUGAAAUGCGUAGAGAUCUGGAGGAAUACCGGUGGCGAAGGCGGCCCCCUGGACAAAGACUGACGCUCAGGUGCGAAAGCGUGGGGAGCAAACAGGAUUAGAUACCCUGGUAGUCCACGCUGUAAACGAUGUCGAUUUGGAGGUUGUGCCCUUGAGGCGUGGCUUCCGGAGCUAACGCGUUAAAUCGACCGCCUGGGGAGUACGGCCGCAAGGUUAAAACUCAAAUGAAUUGACGGGGGCCCGCACAAGCGGUGGAGCAUGUGGUUUAAUUCGAUGCAACGCGAAGAACCUUACCUGGUCUUGACAUCCACAGAACUUUCCAGAGAUGGAUUGGUGCCUUCGGGAACUGUGAGACAGGUGCUGCAUGGCUGUCGUCAGCUCGUGUUGUGAAAUGUUGGGUUAAGUCCCGCAACGAGCGCAACCCUUAUCCUUUGUUGCCAGCGGUUAGGCCGGGAACUCAAAGGAGACUGCCAGUGAUAAACUGGAGGAAGGUGGGGAUGACGUCAAGUCAUCAUGGCCCUUACGACCAGGGCUACACACGUGCUACAAUGGCAUAUACAAAGAGAAGCGACCUCGCGAGAGCAAGCGGACCUCAUAAAGUAUGUCGUAGUCCGGAUUGGAGUCUGCAACUCGACUCCAUGAAGUCGGAAUCGCUAGUAAUCGUAGAUCAGAAUGCUACGGUGAAUACGUUCCCGGGCCUUGUACACACCGCCCGUCACACCAUGGGAGUGGGUUGCAAAAGAAGUAGGUAGCUUAACCUUCGGGAGGGCGCUUACCACUUUGUGAUUCAUGACUGGGGUGAAGUCGUA